GUUCUUUUAUUGCGCCUCUCUCUCUACACUCGCUCUCUCUCCCCGAACGAACUCCCGAGGAACUCUCUCUCUCUGCCCUCGCUUUUUCCGACCGGCGAACCACCGCGAGCAACCGACAAACCAGGAUACCGGCGAGACGACCGCGAGCGACCAACCGGCGUGCGACCUUCCUCUCUGCCCUCCCUCUUUCCGGCCGGCGAACCACUGCGAGCAACCGACGAACGAGGAGGAUACCGGCGAGACGACUGCGAGCAACCUCCCUCUCUCUGCCCUCCCUCGCUUUUUCCGACCGGCGAACCACCGCGCCACCCCCUCCGGCUCCGGAUCUGGCCCCGACUCGUCCGUCCCCUGCUCUUCUCUGUCUGCCCUCCCUCUCUUCGCGGCGAACCACCGCGUGACCGGCGAACCACCGCGCCCCCCUCCAGCUCCAGAUCCGACACCGGCUUGUCUUGUACGCUGGAACGUUGGUGCCCGACCGCCUCACACCCGCCGGCCUGUUGAUCUCCAGUUCCGCUCGCAUCACGAUCCCGCUCUUCUCUGUCUGCCCUCCCUCUCUUCGCGGCGAACCACCGCGUGACCGGCGAACUACCGCGUCCCCCUCCAGCUCCAGAUCCGACACCGGCUUGUCUUGUACGCUGGAACGUUGGUGCCCGACCGUCUCACACCCGCCAGCCUGUUGAUCUCCAGUUCCGCUCGCAUCAAGAUCCCGCCAGUGCUUUGGUUCAGGUUUUCCCUACCUGAUGUUCAUGUGCUAUGAAGCGUGCAAGAGGAUUAUGGUUGAGGAUGAUGAAGAGGCGUAACCAAAUAUUUGACUAGAAGAAAUACGAGGUCUUUUGCUAUGGAUCAUCUACAGAAAGAGUGGAUAAAGAUGACUAUUUUGUAUACUACGAUUUUUUUUUUUGGUUAGAUGUAUCUUUGUGAUUGAAUGGUUUAGUUUAUGUUUUUUUCUUUUGCUCAUACGAUUUCUUCAGAAGAAUUCUUCAAGGAAGUUCUUGUUACCAAGGUUGGUUCUACAUGCACUCGCAAAGAUAUUCGAGGGGUUUACUUUUCUUUUGGAGUUC